rnacentral:rRNA from 1 species
AGUGAACGCUGGCGGUAGGCCUAACACAUGCAAGUCGAACGGCAGCACAGUAAGAGCUUGCUCUUACGGGUGGCGAGUGGCGGACGGGUGAGGAAUACAUCGGAAUCUACUUUUUCGUGGGGGAUAACGUAGGGAAACUUACGCUAAUACCGCAUACGACCUACGGGUGAAAGCAGGGGAUCUUCGGACCUUGCGCGAUUGAAUGAGCCGAUGUCGGAUUAGCUAGUUGGCGGGGUAAAGGCCCACCAAGGCGACGAUCCGUAGCUGGUCUGAGAGGAUGAUCAGCCACGCUGGAACUGAGACACGGUCCAGACACCUACGGGAGGCAGCAGUGGGGAAUAUUGGACAAUGGGCGCAAGCCUGAUCCAGCCAUACCGCGUGGGUGAAGAAGGCCUUCGGGUUGUAAAGCCCUUUUGUUGGGAAAGAAAAGCAGCAGGUUAAUACCCCGCUGUUCUGACGGUACCCAAAGAAUAAGCACCGGCUAACUUCGUG